GGCCGUGGUGCGCAGGCGCAGUCUGCGCAGGGACUGGCGGGACUGCGCGGAGGCGACUGCAGACGUAUCGGGGGUCCGGAGCCUGUCGCGGCUGCUAAGCGCUCGGCGCCUGGCGCUGGCGCUGGCCAAGGCUUGGCCAACAGUGUUGCAAACAGGAACCCGAGGUGUUCACUUCACUGUUGAAGGAACGAGAGGGCAUCUGCUAAAGUUUCAGAUUCCAUUUCUGCUCAGUAUCCAGUAGUGGAUCAUGAAUUUGAUGCAGUGGUGGUAGGCGCUGGAGGGGCAGGCUUUGCGAGCUGCAUUUGGCCUUUCCGAGGCAGAGUUUGAUACAGCAUGUGUUACCAAGCUGUUUCCUACCAGGUCACACACUGUUGCAGCGCAGGUUGGAAUCAAUGCUGCUCUGGGGAACAUGGAGGAGGACAACUGGAGGUGGCAUUUCUAUGACACCGUGAAGGGCUCCGACUGGCUGGGGGACCAGGAUGCCAUCCACUACGUGACGGAGCAGGCCCCCACUGCCAUGGUCGAGCUAGAAAAUUAUGGCAUGCCGUUUAGCAGAACUGAAGAUGGGAAGAUUUAUCAGCGUGCAUUUGGUGGACAGAGCCUCAAGUUUGGAAAGGGCAGGCAGGCCCAUCGGUGCUGCUGUGUGGCUGAUCGGACCGGCCACUCAAUAUUGCACACCUCAUAUGGGAGGUCUCUGAGAUAUGAUACCAGCUGUUUUGUGGAGUAUUUUGCCUUGGAUCUCCUGAUAGAGAACAGGGAGUGCCGUGGUGUCAUUGCACUGUGCAUAGAGGACGGGUCCAUCCAUCACAUAAGAGCAAAGAACACUGUUGUUGCCACAGGAGUCAAGAAACUUUUCUUUUGAGCUAUUGACAGCUUUUAACAAGUUAUUAUACUCCUAUGAACAAAAUUUGGAGCAUAUUUGUUUCUCUCUGCCUGAUUUCUCCUGAAUUUGGAAACUAUUUGACAUGAGGAUUCUCAACCUGAUAAAAAUGAGCUUUCCUAAUAACUCAAGACCCAUCUGCCUAGGAAUAAACCAUCCCAGCUGUGAGAGACCAGACGAAACCUGAGACCAGAGACUCGUUUUCUUCUAAAAUGCUUUCUCCAAAAGAUUUUUAAACAGAAAAAGGGGGAAAUGUGAAAGGAAAAGAAAACUUGAGGCCCCCAAAAUCACUAAGCUAAAAGGAAAAGUCAAGCUGGGAAUGGCUUAGGGCAAACCUGCCUCCCAUUCUAUGCAAAGUCAUCCCUCCGUGCACUGAGAUAAAUGCUUAUCUAAUUGCCUCCUUUGGAGAGGCUCAUCAGAAACUCAAAAUAAUGCAACCAUUUGACUCUCACCUACCUGUGACCUGGAAGAUCCCUCUCUGCUUGAGUUGUCCUGCUUUUCUGGAUGGAACCAAUGUUCAUCUUACAUAUAUUGAUUGAUGUCUCAUGUCUCCCUAAAAUGUAUAAAACCAAGCUGUGCCCUGACCACCUUGGGCACAUGUCGUCAGGACCUCCUGAGGCUGUGCCACAGGCAUGCAGCCUCAACCUUGGCAAAAUAAACUUUCUAAAUUGACUGAGA
ensembl:lncRNA SDHAP4 SDHA pseudogene 4